GCGAGGAUGGCGGAAUUGGCAGACGCGCUAGUUUGAGGGGCUAGUGGGGUAAAACCCGUGCGGGUUCAAAUCCCGCUCCUCGCA
rnacentral:tRNA from 1 species